rnacentral:rRNA from 1 species
GUAACUUCGGGAGAAGGAGUAGCUUUUUCAGGGCAACCUGUUAAAGCUGUCACAAAAUCAAGGACAGCGACUGGUUAAUAAAACCACAGGUCUCUGCAAAAUUGUAAAAUGAAGUAUAGAGACUGACGUCUGCCCGGUGCUGCAAGUAUAAUAGAAAAAGUUGAGGCUUUGACUAGAAACCCCAGUAAACGGCGGCUGUAACUCUGACGGUCCAAAGGUAGCGAAAUUCCUUGGCAAAUUGGUGUCCUGCAUGA